AAUUACCAUUCAGCAGAUACCAUAAAAGGUGUGUUGGUUUAAACAGCAGAACGGGAUCAUGAAGUUUGAAAUCCGUUAAGGAGUGUAACAACUCACUUGCAGAAGCAACUAGCCUUAAAUGGAUGGCGCUUAAGUUGUAUACCUAUACAUUACCGCUAAAGUAGAUGAUUUAUAUUACUUGUGAUAUAAAUUUGAAACUUUAGUGAGUAGGAAGGUACAAUGGUAUGCGUAGAAGUGUUUGGCGUAAGCCUGCAUGGAGCUGCCAUUGGUACAGAUCUUGGUGGUAGUAGCAAAUAAUCGAAUGAGACCUUGGAGGACUGAAGUGGAGAAGGGUUUCGUGUGAACAGUGGUUGAUCACGAGUUAGUCGGUCCUAAGUUCAAGGCGAAAGCCGAAAAUUUUCAAGUAAAACAAAAAUGCCUAACUAUAUAAACAAAGCGAAUAUAAUACACUUGAAUAAUUUUGAACGAAAGGGAAUACGGUUCCAAUUCCGUAACCUGUUGAGUAUCCGUUUGUUAUUAAAUAUGGGCCUCGUGCUCAUCCUGGCAACAGGAACGACCAUAAAGAAGCCGUCGAGAGAUAUCGGAAGAGUUUUCUUUUCUGUUUUAUAGCCGUACUACCAUGGAAGUCUUUCGCAGAGAGAUAUGGUAGAUGGGCUAGAAGAGCAUGACAUAUACUGUUGUGUCGAUAUUUUCUCCUCGGACCUUGAAAAUUUAUGGUGGGGACACGCAAACUUCUCAACAGGCCGUACCAAUAUCCGCAGCUGGUCUCCAAGGUGAAGAGUCUCUAGUCGAUAGAAUAAUGUAGGUAAGGGAAGUCGGCAAAUUAGAUCCGUAACUUCGGGAUAAGGAUUGGCUCUGAAGAUUGAGAUAGUCGGGCUUGAUUGGGAAACAAUAACAUGGUUUAUGUGCUCGUUCUGGGUAAAUAGAGUUUCUAGCAUUUAUGUUAGUUACUUGUUCCCCGGAUAGUUUAGUUACGUAGCCAAUUGUGGAACUUUCUUGCUAAAAUUUUUAAGAAUACUAUUUGGGUUAAACCAAUUAGUUCUUAUCAAUUAUAACGAUUAUCAAUUAACAAUCAAUUCAGAACUGGCACGAAUCCACCACAGUGGCG
rnacentral:ncRNA from 1 species